rnacentral:lncRNA from 1 species
UGAACUGAAUAGAGAGAUUCUCUUUUGCUCAGUGCAUAUAUAUAUAGAUUCUUCAGAAGUUCUCAUUUCUAAUAAUUCAUCAUCUCCUAAAGUAUUGUGAUAAAGACAAUGAUAACAAUAUUUUUAAUCCAAUAAACAAUGAUAAAAAUGUUUUUAAUGUCAUCCCAACCCAAAUAAACCAAACACAAAAAUAAAAUAAAGAGACAUUUUACAGCGCUUAUCUUAAAAAGCGUUGUAAACGAUCCUUUUAAAAAUAAAAUAAUGAGUGUUUUAUACCUUUUACAGCGCUUUUCACACAAAGCGUUGUAAACGACUCUUUUGAAAAUAAGUAAAAAAGACAUUUUACAGCGCUUAUUUGACAAAGCGCUGUAAAAAAGCUUUAAAAAUAAUAUUCAUCAGACACCUAAUUUCUUCAAACACCUUGUACGCAUCAUGGGAAUCCAAAAAACAUCAGACAUUAACCCAUUUCUUCAAACACCUUGUACGCAUCAUGGGAAUCCCCAAAAACACAUUGUUAACAAAAACAUCAGACACAAACCCAUUUCUUCAAACACCUUGUACGCAUCAUGGGAAUCCCCAAAAACACAUUGUUAACAAAAACAUCAGACACAAACCCAUUUUUCGCAACAUGGCAAUGAUUCUGAAUACCAAGUUUCGAUUUAAGAAGGAAAGAGAAUGUAAAGAGAUAAAAAGGGUGUUGAGGUGGAGAUUGAAUUGUGAAAGAGUAAGCUUUGAUGUUUGUGAAGAAGAUGCAUAAAAGGAGAAGAGCUUGGUGAAGAGGAAAGGAUUUUUGUGGUGACCUGUUAACACUAUGUGGGUUUUGCAUGCAUGUUGAGCUUGUUUAAAAAAUAACAUAACAUAACAAAACACAAAAACAAUAAGGCCUUUUACAGCGCUCAUGUGUAAAAGCGCUGUAAAAGAGUCUUUUAAAAUUAACAUAAAGAGACAUUUUAGAGCGCUUAUGUGUAAAAGCGCUGUAAAAGGCUUUAAAAAAACAUUCAUAUAACAUAAUAACACACAGAGGUCUUUUACAGCGAUUAUUUGGGAAAAGCGCUGUAAAAGAGCCUUUUAAAAUUAACAUAAAGAGACAUUUUAGAGCAUUAUGUGUAAAAGCGCUGUAAAAGGCUUUAAAAAAACAUUCAUAUAACAUAACAACACACGGAGGUCUUUGACAGCGCUUAUUUGGGAAAAACGCUAUAAAAUAGCCUUUUAAAAUUAACAUAAAGAGACAUUUUAGAGCGCUUAUGUAUAAAAGCGCUGUAAAAGGCAUUCAUAUAACAUAAAAACAUACGGAGUUAGACUACACAAUGUUUCGUGUUCCCAUAUUUGGUUGCAAGUGGGUCGAUAAUAAUAAUGACGUUCGGAUUGAUGAGUCAGGAUUCUUGCUUGUCGAUUUUAAUAGGGUGGGAUACAAAGACGAGCCUUUUAUUUUAGCGUCGCAAGCUCAACAAGUGUUUUAUGUCACUGAUCCUUCUAAUGAUAAAUGGUCUGUUGUCCUAUCGACCAAUAAAAUAAGUGAUGAUAACAAUAAUGAUGAAGAUGUUGGUAAUGAUCUUUUAUUUGCAACAUCACAACAACCACAUGAAAUUGAUUCAACUGAUGAUGGUUUAUAUCUUAGAGAUGAUCAUGAUGAGGGAAUUUGGAUUAAUCCAUCGUUUCGUAUUGUAAAUGGACAAACAAAUGUGAAUGUCACCAGGAAAAGAAGAAGGGCAUCUUAAUGUAUAUGUUUAAUUGUUUUAUAUAAGCUAUGCAUGUAAUCUGAACUGUGUUAUUGUAAAUAUGCAUGUAAUCUGAAUUGAGUGUUUUAUACUAAGUUCUGAUUAAUUUAUUUUCUGCUUAUAUUUAGCUUGAUUUGAGUGUUUUAUACCAAGUUCAUGUAACAAUGAGUGUUUUAUAUUUAGCUUGAUUUACAUGAACUGAACUGAAUAUAAAUUAGUAAUUUACAUGAACUGAACUGAACUGAAUAGAGAGAUUCUCUUUUGCUCAGUGCAUAUAUAUAUAUAUAAUUCUACAGAAGUUCUCAUUUCUAAUAAUUCAUCAUCUCCUAAAGUAUUGUGAUAAAGACAAUGAUAACAAUAUUUUUAAUCCAAUAAACAAUGAUAAAAAUGUUUUUAAUGUCAUCCCAACCCAAAUAAACCAAACACAAAAAAAAAAAAAAUAAAGAGACAUUUUACAGCGCUUAUCUUAAAAAGCACUGUAAACGAUCCUUUUAAAAAUAAAAUAAUGAGUCUUUUAUACCUUUUACAACGCUUUUCACACAAAGCGCUGUAAACGACUCUUUUGAAAAUAAGUAAAAAAGACAUUUUACAGCGCUUAUUUGACAAAGCGCUGUAAAAAAGCUUUAAAAAUAAUAUUCAUCAGACACCUAAUUUCUUCAAACACCUUGUACGCAUCAUGGGAAUCCAAAAAACAUCAGACACAAACCCAUUUCUUCAAACACCUUGUACGCAUCAUGGGAAUCCCCAAAAACACAUUGUUAACAAAAACAUCAGACACAAACCCAUUUCUUCAAACACCUUGUACGCAUCAUGGGAAUCCCCAAAAACACCAGACACAAACCCAUUUUUCGCAACAUGGCAAUGAUCCUGAAUACCAAGUUUCGAUUUAAGAAGGAAAGAGAAUGUAAAGAGAUAAAAAGGGUGUUGAGGUGGAGAUUGAAUUGUGAAAGAGUAAGCUUUGAUGUUUGUGAAGAAGAUGCAUAAAAGGAGAAGAGUUUGGUGAAGAGGAAGGGAUUUUUGUGGUGACCAGUUACUACUAUGUGGGUUUUGCAUGCAUGUUGAGCUUGUUUAAAAAAUAACAUAACAUAACAAAACACAAAAACAAUAAGGCCUUUUACAGCGCUUAUUUGGAAAAAGCGCUGUAAAAGAGCCUUUUUAAAUUAACAUAAAGAGACAUUUUAGAGCGCUUAUGUGUAAAAGCGCUGUAAAAGGCUUUAAAAAACAUUCAUAUAACAUAAUAACACACGGAGGUCUUUUACAGCGCUUAUUUGGGAAAAGCGCUGUAAAAGAGCCUUUUAAAAUUAACAUAAAGAGACAUUUUAGAGCGCUUAUGUGUAAAAGCGCUGUAAAAGGCUUUAAAAAACAUUCAUAUAACAUAAUAACACACGGAGGUCUUUUACAGCGCUUAUUUGGGAAAAGCGCUGUAAAAGAGCCUUUUAAAAUUAACAUAAAGAGACAUUUUAGAGCGCUUAUGUGUAAAAGCGCUGUAAAAGGCUUUAAAAAACAUUCAUAUAACAUAAUAACACACGGAGGUCUUUUACAGCGCUUAUUUGGGAAAAGCGCUGUAAAAGAGCCUUUUAAAAUUAACAUAAAGAGACAUUUUAGAGCGCUUAUGUGUAAAAGCGCUGUAAAAGGCUUUAAAAAAACAUUCAUAUAACAUAAUAACACACGGAGGUCUUUUACAGCGCUUAUUUGGGAAAAGCGCUUUAAAAGAGUCUUUUAAAAUUAACAUAAAGAGACAUUUUAGAGCGCUUAUAUGUAAAAGCGCUGUAAAAGACCUCCGUGUGUUAUUAUGUUAUUUGAAUGUUUUUUAAAGCCUUUUACAGCGCUUUUCACACAAAGCGCUGUAAACGAUCCUUUUAAAAAUAAAAUAAUGAGUGUUUUAUACCAAGUUCAUGUAACAAUGAGUGUUUCAUAUUUAGCUUGAUUUGAGUGUUUUAUACCAAGUUCAUGUAACAAUGAGUGUUUCAUAUUUAGCUUGAUUUGAGUGUUUUAUACCAAGUUCAUGUAACAAUGAGUGUUUCAUAUUUAGCUUGAUUUGAGUGUUUUAUACCAAGUUCAUGUAACAAUGAGUGUUUCAUAUUUAGCUUGAUUUGAGUGUUUUAUACCAAGUUCAUGUAACAAUGAGUGUUUCAUAUUUAGCUUGAUUUGAGUGUUUUAUACCAAGUUCAUGUAACAAUGAGUGUUUCAUAUUUAGCUUGAUUUGAGUGUUUUAUACCAAGUUCAUGUAACAAUGAGUGUUUCAUAUUUAGCUUGAUUUGAGUGUUUUAUACCAAGUUCAUGUAACAAUGAGUGUUUCAUAUUUAGCUUGAUUUGAGUGUUUUAUACCAAGUUCAUGUAACAAUGAGUGUUUCAUAUUUAGCUUGAUUUGAGUGUUUUAUACCAAGUUCAUGUAACAAUGAGUGUUUCAUAUUUAGCUUGAUUUACAUGAACUGAACUAAAUAGAGAGAUUCUCUUUUGCUCAGUGCAUAUAUAUAUAGAUUCUUCAGAAGUUCUCAUUUCUAAUAAUUCAUGAUCUCCUAAAGUAUUGUGAUAAAGACAAUGAUAACAAUAUUUUUAAUCCAAUAAACAAUGAUAAAAAUGUUUUUAAUGUCAUCCCAACCCAAAUAAACCAAACACAAAAAUAAAAUAAAGAGACAUUUUACAGCGCUUAUCUUAAAAAGCGCUGUAAAAGAUCCUUUUAAAAAUAAAAUAAUGAGUGUUUUAUACCUUUUACAGCGCUUUUCACACAAAGCGCUGUAAACG